UUAAAAGGUUGCUAUCUGUGACCAAAAAAAUACUGUUCAAAAUUGUGAGUAUUCAUUUAUCUUUCGUUCAGUAAAGAGCAUGCAAUGGCAUAGUGGUUGGAUUAGAUAAUCUGACAGCGGUGCUGGACGUCAGGAGUUCAAAUAUUGUUGUGAGUUCAAUGUACCAAAAGAAUACCUUUGGAAUACACAAUUAUCUAUAAAAAUGGCAGAGCAAAUUGCCCAUAUUGUAGUAAUGUCUUAGAUCCAGCUUGGAUAACUUGGACACAGUAAGCGGUUCACACCAAGGGAAAUUCUCAGAUAAAACAGCGCUUAUGAACUUGAACAUUACAUUUUUCAUUGAGACAAAGAAAAGACAUUAUUGCUGAUCUUCUGAAAACAAAUCUUGGAUUUAAACUAAUCACCAACAAAAAUAUUUGCAUUUUAAUCACACAAUGUAAACAACUGCGCCACAGAUCUUAUCUGUAUGUUUAGGGUUUUUAAAAUUUAGCAGUUAAAUAUAGAAUAGCAUACUGGUAGGUCUGGUUGGUCUGUUGCUUUAGAUGCUAAGUAAACAUAAUGUCAGUGAUUUCAUCACUAUUUCUAUUAAAAUAUCAGUUUUCUUCUUCAGGGCUUCUCACAUUUGCACCUUUUUUACCAUUUGAAUCAUAAAAAGAUAACAAACAAACACAGAUGGAACAUUUGAAAAUACAAUUCAGUUGGUUUCUAUUUUCUUGCUCAUUUUUGCUUGAAAUUAUUCUGCUUGAAUGUGAUUUUUGUUGCUUAAAUUUGUACUUAACUCUUUGUGAAUAUUUAAGGAAUGUAAGGGGUCAGAUUUCAGAUGCUCAUUAUUUCUGGAACACUAAAUACUUUAUUUGAUUGUGUACACUGCACUUUCUUGUUAAGCAUUCAUCCAAAUCAUUUGGGUAAAUAUUGGCAGAAAAACUGCUUUUAGAUUUAUACUGGUCAUCAAAACCGGCACUGACAAAACAUAAGAUGUGUUUAAUUAAUGUGCGGGAAAGAGGUUUAAAGGUGUCCGCCCACAAAGAAAUGCUUGCGGGUCACAGUACCCCUUCAAGUAGUUCUUGAAAAAAAAUGAUUCUCUCAGUUGCUGCUUGGGACAAUAAAGUUAAGUCAGCAACCGUCUACCAGACUGCAAGAUUCAUCUCUUCCAAAGGAUGUUGUACCUUUCCAGAUACACUGUGUGGAUAAGAAAUGCAGAGUGGUACCACCAAUCACCUAAGCCACCAUUCCCCUAACAGACAAUAGGCUCAUGGGGACAGUUCCUGCAAUUUACAGAAAAGCUCUCAAUUGUAGCCCUACCAACUUCAGAUACUGCCGAUGGUGAAGCUUGGGUGCACCGGGCCGGUUUUCCAGCCGUGUGGAAUCAACAUCUCCAGCUGAACAGGGGCCGGGAAUUAUAUAAGACUCCUUAGCAGCAUGAGUGCCAACCAGUCAUUGCUGUUCUUUGCAUUGCUGAGGAGGACAGUCCUGCCAACAUAACAGUUUGUUCAAUAACAGGAGACAAACAGAAACAUAGAGGUGCUAUACAUUCUGAUGGAAAAACAAAAGCAUCUCCCAUCAUUUUGGCGUGGCUCAGAUCAAGAGGAGAAUUUUAAGAAAGGUGAUGGUUGGGCACACACAAGAAGACAUAGAUCACAGGUGUCUAGCCAUAUGAGUAGAUAGGAGUGUCACACUCUGCCAAACUUACUUCAUCAGACGAGCAGAAAGCUUCUCAAGAUCCCGCACUGCACACUAAGACAUAGUCUUUGACUACAACAAGGUGAUGAAAGUACAGAGAGAUCCAAUUGAAAUCAAUUCUGUGCUACUGUCAUUUCUUCAUUCUGGAAGUCGAUGGACAUGAUUUAUCAUGGCAUCAAGUGUGCAGUUUGCCGACUACCAGCAAUCUUGUUCACCAGCUGUGCAACUUGAGCUGGUAGCUUUAUUGCUUGAAACCACUGCAUAAGAGGAGGGAAGGUGCAGGUUCAUCAAAAAGUCUCAAAAGUUGAAACUAGGAAAAGAAGUUUAUCAAGAGUGUGAAUCUAUUUUGAAAACAAUCGUUACAAUGAUUUGGUUUCCUUUGAAACUUGAUACAUACUAUGAAUUGAGAUGCUUAAAUAAAAAACCGCUAUUCAAUUAUCAGGAAACUGCCUUUUUCAUACUAAAGGGUAAAUGAUGUCGCCAUUUCCUGUAUGUAUUUAAAUAAGAUAUGUCUCCACAAUUAAUAUUUUUAGGGAAUUUUUCUCAACCUAAUGAAUGAGAUUAAAUUGUACAGUGUUAUAUGAGCUUAAUAUGUGUUUUCUCAUUCUUUAAAAUUGGUGAAAAAUUGUCAGAAGAUAAUUAGACCAGUAUCCAUUACUGCAAUCAUACAAUCAAAUAUACAGGGACAAGCCCACUGGGCAUAUAAUAUAAUUAAACCCUGUUUAGGGGCACGAGGCAAACAGAGUUACUUUCAAACGUUAAAGCUGCACUCUCACACUUUGGAUGUUUUGACAACCUUUUUCAUUUCAUGUCUUGGAUUGGAACCAUCCAAUUUUUGUGAAAAAUUAAAUCCCAGAUUUUUCUAUUUAAGUUAAAACAUUGAUGUUUUUAUGCACUUUUCUUAAACCGUUAGAAACAUUAAUUUUCGAACGGAAAUAUGAAAUCUGCGAUCUGAUCUUUUGUCAGCAAUCUUUUAUCAUUGGUUUGCAGAUAAUUACGCCAAAACUUGCUCAUUCCAAGACAAAAAAAUUUGUGGAAACGGUAUAUCUGUGAGAGUGCAGCUCUAAAUGUUUAAUUGCUUGAUUACUACUGUAUUAGAAAUUACAGGGAUUGGGGCAUAUUUUUAGUGUUUUUAUUGCUUGGUUUUGAUUCAUACAGUCAUACUUUAUUCUUCAGGGCACAACUUACAAAUAGACAAAACUGGAAAAUGGUCAUAUCAAAAGGUCAAAGAUAAUGCAAGUUGAACAAUCAUAUUGUUCAUGGCUUGUAUUUUUGGUAUAUUUUGUUGCAUAUGCUAUAGAAAAGUUGAAAGUUAAAAAUAAAUUCAUAGUUGAAAUGAUGGCUUUGAAUGGUAUUGUCAGAUGAGAAACGGCACUAUUAAGCAAUAGGUAUAAUGGUACUUUAUUUAUUUUAAUCAAUUUUAGAUAUUAUGAAAAUUAUUAUCUUAUUUAGUACAUGAGACCUUUUAAACAGUUAUUGACAAUAUAACAAUGUGUAUAUGAAGCUUUAGAUCAACACUUAAAGCUGCACUCUUACAGAUUGUCAGUUUAGACACAAACUUGUCUCAAAAUCGGCUGAUUUGGUUAUCAUUCCUUUAAUUCAGUCAUAUUAGAUAAUUCACGAUAGAACCAAUCAAAAAUGUUUGGUAAAACUGCCGAAAAGUUCAUUUACAUUAAAUUGUUUGUAAUGCUUUUAGUCAUUGUUCGUAAUGCUUUUAGUCAUAAAACAUCAUUUUUUUUAACAUAAAUAUGAUGAACUGCAAUAUGAUCUUUUUUCAGCAGUCUUAUAUCACUUCAAAUUGGGUCUAGACAUUUCUGCAAAAAAUACUCCAUUUAUAGACAAACAAUAAAAGAGUACCAGUAGUCAAAACGAUCAAUCGGUGAGAUUGCAGCUUUAAAUACACCUUUUAAGACCGCUGUAAAAUUCCAAUGGUUUGCCUAAAUCUUUAAAGCUAGCAUACUGUUUAAUUGACAACCAUACUUAUUGUUUAAAAGUGUCAUGAUAUCUUUGUACAAUGUUUUUAUAUAAUUCAUUAAAGAAGUCAA